rnacentral:rRNA from 1 species
GACGAACGCUGGCGGCGUGCUUAACACAUGCAAGUCGAACGGAAAGGCCCCUUUGGGGGUACUCGAGUGGCGAACGGGUGAGUAACACGUGAGUAACCUGCCCUUGACUUUGGGAUAACUUCAGGAAACUGGGGCUAAUACCGGAUAGGAAUCCUUGCUGCAUGGUGGGGGUUGGAAAGCUUCGGCGGUUUUGGAUGGACUCGCGGCUUAUCAGCUUGUUGGUGGGGUAGUGGCUUACCAAGGCUUUGACGGGUAGCCGGCCUGAGAGGGCGACCGGCCACAGUGGGACUGAGAUACGGCCCAGACGCCUACGGGAGGCAGCAGUGGGGAAUAUUGCACAAUGGGCGGAAGCCUGAUGCAGCAACGCCGCGUGCGGGAUGACGGCCUUCGGGUUGUAAACCGCUUUCAGCAGGGGCGAAGCUUGUGGUGACGGUACCUGCAGAAGAAGCACCGGCUAACUACGUG